UACAGAGGAGCCAAGCGUUGUCCGGAUUGACUGGGCGUAAAGCGCACGCAGGCGGAUGCGCGCGUGGGGUGUGAAAUCUGGCCGCUUAACGGCCAGGCGCCAUCCCAUACGGCGCGUCUGGAGUGAUGCAGAGGUCGAUGGAAUUGCCGGUGUAGUGGUGAAAUGCGUAGAGAUCGGCAGGAACAUCCAGGGGGAAACCAGUCGACUGGGCAUCUACUGACGCUGAGGUGCGAGAGCGUGGGGAGCGAACCGG
rnacentral:rRNA from 1 species